rnacentral:rRNA from 1 species
AGAGUUUGAUCCUGGCUCAGAACGAACGCUGGCGGCAUGCCUAACACAUGCAAGUCGAACGAUGUCUUUCGGGGCAUAGUGGCGCACGGGUGCGUAACGCGUGGGAAUCUGCCCUUGGGUCUGGGAUAACAGUUGGAAACGACUGCUAAUACCGGAUGAUAUCGCGAGAUCAAAGAUUUAUCGCCCGAGGAUGAGCCCGCGUAGGAUUAGCUAGUUGGUGGGGUAAAGGCCUACCAAGGCGACGAUCCUUAGCUGGUCUGAGAGGAUGAUCAGCCACACUGGGACUGAGACACGGCCCAGACUCCUACGGGAGGCAGCAGUGGGGAAUAUUGGACAAUGGGCGCAAGCCUGAUCCAGCAAUGCCGCGUGAGUGAUGAAGGCCUUAGGGUUGUAAAGCUCUUUUGCCCGGGAUGAUAAUGACAGUACCGGGAGAAUAAGCCCCGGCUAACUCCGUG